UGAAGAACAAACCAUCCAGCGCUUAAUGUUGCUUAUUUAUUUAUUUAGUGAAACUAGGUGGACUAGGCCCUUAGACGUAUGCCAAUCCAGCAACCCCUGACAAACCUCUACGAAAAGGUGAUUCUCGCAGAUACUGUCUGACCAGUUGAAUAUUUCUAAAGUCCAGCAGAUUAUAAUGAAACAGACUCAGUGGUUUCAAUGUUUCCAAGAUUUUGCUGGCUCUUAUCUUGCCAUCCUGAUGGUCGUAAUGAGAAGAGGGCAUCUCCAGGGUGAUGCAGGUCUAAGGUACAGGUCCAAAAGAAUCUAAAACUCCACAAGACUGCCUGCUUCCACUAUUUUGAGAUGCAGAGCACAUCAGUUCCUGGAGAUCUGGAAUAAAAUAGCAAU